UGUUCUCAGGUAAAUGAUGGUGAGCUUGGAGGAGGAGGGUCAGUACCGCCAGGACGCCGGCCCGGACUGUCCUGCCUCCCACCACAUUACCCCAGGCCUCCUAACCCAGGCCUCCUAGCCCAGGCCUCCUGGGGCACCCUAACGCUGCUCUAAGAAAGUCAUUAUGCCGCCAAAGAAAAAGGGAAAAUGGGUUCCACGUUUUCAACGUGGAUCUCAGGCAAAAAGGCAGGCACAAAUGAAAAAAGCACUAGAAAAGAAGAAAGUACAACUCCGCGAGCAGUUCCCGGUAUCUAAUGGUGCUCCACAUCGAGAAAAAGAAAAAGCUCAGGGCGCUACACAAAAAGACACAUGGCCACAGACCAAGCAGUUGGCAAGUCGUCUGCUUAAACCCUGGGUACACAGUAAACCCCUCUUUAAACGACCAACAUGGGGACAGAGUAACCAUCUCUUCAGUCGGCCAACAAAUUCUUGGGAACAGAGUACCUCACUUUCAAGUCGAUUGUUACAGAACUCGGGGCAGAAUCCUCUGUCAUCCAGCCGCUCAUCGCAAACUUUUGGACAAUAUAGUAAUUUGUCAAGUCAAAUGAGAGAAGCUUUUGAGGACAGUUACUCACUUCGAUCACCGCUGUCCUGGAAAGAUAGUUGUUUGUCAAAUCGAUCAGCACAACCUCCAUGGGAACAGAAUAGAUCAUCCCAGCCACCAUGGGAACAGAAUAGAUCAUCACAGCCACCAUGGGAACAGAAUAAAUCAUCCCAGCCACCAUGGGAACAGAAUAAAUCAUCCCAGCCACCUUGGGAACAGAGUAGGUUAAGGUCAAGCUGGCAAGAACAGCUUUGGGAACAAAAUGCUCCUCCGUCAGGUCGAUCACCAGACAAUUGGGAUCAGAAUAAUUCAGUGUCAGGCCGCCAGGAACAGGCUUGGGACCAAAAUGCUCCUCCAUCAAGUAGAUCGGCAGAUAACUGGGAUCAGAAUAAUUCAAUGUUAAGCCGGCAUGAACAGACUUGGGAAGACGAUCCUCCCAUGUCAAGUAGAUCAACAGACAAUUGGGAGCAGAAUAAUUCAAUGUCAGGCCGGCAUGAACAGACAUGGGAAGACGAUCCCCCCAUGUCAAGUAGAUCAGCAGACAAUUGGGAGCAGAAUAAUUCAAUGUUGGGCCGGCGUGAACAGACUUGGGAAGGAGAUAUUCCUAUGUCAAGUCAAUCUGUAGACAAUUGGGAUGAAAGUAAUUUAAAGCCAAGUCGACCAACACAAAGUUGGGAACAGAGUAGUUCAUUGCUAAGUCGACCGGUACAAAGCUAUGAGCAUAGUACGUCAUUGCUAAGUCGACCAGCACAGAGUUAUGAACAUAGUACAUCAUUGCUAAUUCGACCAGCACCAAGCUGGGAACAGGGUUCUUUGCUAAUUCGAACAGCACAGAGCUAUGAACAGAGUACAUCAUUAAUAAGUCGACCUGAACAGAGCUGGGAACAAAGUAGCUCGAUGAUAACCCGACCACCACCUUCGUGGGGGCAGAGUAACUCGGCAACAAAUCGACAACCUACUGCUAUUGGACAAGUUAAUUCAAUGACAAGUCGGCCACCGCCAUCGCUGGGGCCAAACAAUAGCAUUUCAAGUAGACCACAGAACUGGAAUCAGACAAGUUCACAGUCAAAUCAACGAACACAAACAUGGGACGAGGAUAGGCAUCUGAUUGGCGAACAGACGCAACCCUGGACACAGAGUAAUUUGACAAAUCGACCAACGCAGGCCUGGCAGCAGGAUAGCCUUUUAAAAAAUCCACCAGCACAGGCUUGGACUAAAAAGAGCCAGGAGAUGGAUCGAUAUUCACAGUCCCGGCCAGAAAAUAGCCCUGGUGGGAAGAUGUCUAAAGCCCAACCUCCAGUGGCCUCUGAGGGCAUGGCCAAGAAUGAUCCACAUAGAAGAAUUACCCCUGUAAGAUCACACUUCGGAAUGAAAUAUAUGCAGAAAAUGGGCUGGAUGCCGGGUGAAGGUCUCGGCAAGAACAAGGAGGGAAUGAUUGAGCCACUAAUGCCUGAAGCCAAUAUGGACCUUCCAGGAGCCUAUUAUGCAGGGGGAUGGCAAUCAAAAGUUGGACAGCAAGUUCAGAAGCGGCCAAAGAAACUUACAGCUAAGGCUAUUGCAGGCAAGCACCCAGUCUCGGCUGUGAUUGAGCUGUGUACAAAUCGCAAUUGGCCGGCACCCAUUUUUGAGGUGAUCUCCGAGUCUGGCCCAGUUCACAAGAAAAUGAUUAUCAUGAAGGUGACUGUAAAUGGGCGCGCAUAUAAACACAAGGAAGAAGUGGCUUCCAAGAAGGUGGCAAAGGCAGAGGCGGCCAAGAUAUGUCUACAGUCCCUCGGACUAAUGCCCAAGCCCAAGAAAGCUCCGUAGUCACUCGUAAACGAUGAGUGAAGCAAAAUAAGUCACUGCUAGGAACAGUCAUGAGAGUCGUGUUCUUCACUUUCAAGAAGUUCAAGCUCCACUAUACCAGUAGGGACACUGGCCUCCUCCCUUUGGCAUGUAAAAGUAUGGGAGGUGAAAGAUAUCCUCUACAGCUCAACAUUGCUCAUCCUGUAUAAGUAUGGCAGAUGAAGGAGAUCCACGGCAACUAAAUGUGGCUCAUCCCGUGCGAGUAUGCACAGCAGAUCAUGGAGCUCCUCUGCAUUCCCGAAAGAACAAGAGAGUAAAAAAGGACAUCACUUCUAAGUGGAAAGCUCAUUGUUGUAGGUGACCAUGGUACUGGAGCAUCUGUCACUGUUCCCAGUUAUCUGGGCAAUCUCCCUCAUGGAAAACCUGCUCUCCAAGGCUACACAACCCAGGAUACCUGCAGCCAACAACUGCCCACCCUCACCUGUAUUGUCGCUCGUCGCCCUCCGACGUGCAGAGGGAAUAUUGGUAGUUGUUGCUAACAGUUCUCUCACACAUGAGGGCAAUUCUACAUCAAACUACCUGCCUGCCCCUAAACGACCCAGGACCAUGCUCGCUAGCCCCCCUUCACGAUGACCAACUCUACACAACCCUGCACCUCUAUGUGUUCAAGUGACCAUUUGCUCUUUACUUCUUGUGUAUUGGGUGAGCCACUUGGUUGUCAUAGAGCAACCAUGAUGGCGGGUGUGGAGAAGUGGAGCCUACACAUCUUUCAUCAGGCUAAAACAUUUCACACUCAUCAUCCCAGCAGCCCUCAUUAUGUGGCCACGUUAAGCCUCUCUUUGCCAUACCUCUAUCAAGACGACCGAAACACACACCAGAAGAUGAGGAAACGACGACAUUUUGGUCCCUCCUGGAUCAUUAUCAAGUCCUAAUCUUGACAAACAGCAAGGCCCUAUCACGGUGAUACAGUCUACACGCAGCCAUAUCAUUACCUAUUCUGCUACUGUAUUCUACUCACCUACUCUACCCCUCACCACCUUCCCUACCCUUCAUCACCUUCCCUUAUCGUUCACCACCUUCCUUACCCUUCACCAUCUUCCCUUAUCUUUCACCACCUUCCCUACCCUUAACUACUUUUGCUUCAUCCCUGUAACCGUUUUCACUAAUGAUGUCUUCAUUUAAUCAUCAUGUUGAUAAUAACAUGAUGAUUAUCAUUUGCCAUUUCAUGCAAAGGGAAUCAUGGGGCUUGACCUCCAACCACCCUAUGACCAUUACCGCACAAAGACUAGUCACCCUGCAAAGUUUGGUGAGGCUAGCCUCCAGUCUCUGUCCCCCAACAUCGAACAGAGAUUCGUAUUGUUUAUAUAUACUAAUAUACAGUAUAUAGGGGGUACCACCUCAGGUGCAAUUGUAGGGACCCAUAGCCUUGUAGAAGAAAAUGGAGAGUAUUCAGAUAAGACCUAGUGGAUUCUCACUGAACGCUUUAAUAUUUUCUUCUCCUACCGCCUCAAUUUUAUUUUAUUACAUUGUGUUACAAUUUACAGAAAACACACACACAUAACAAUCACUGUUCGAAGACCUCAUCCAGUCCUUUGGACGUGGGAUGUGUGCCCAAGAUACAGCACACAUUUCUUCUGUGGGUCGCGACACUAAGGCACUGGAACAGGAAACUGGCCGCUCUUGAGUCUUUAGUUUGCCUAAUGAGUUCCUCACCCACCUCCUUUAGGGACUUAGGUGUACAUAUUAGACAGUCUAAUAUACAUUAUUUAUAAUAAUUUCCCUAAAAUGGACAUUUGUUACUUUUAACAAUAUGCACCAAACCUGACAAAGAGUACUGGGAAGACGGGACACCACGAGCGUAGCUCUCAUCCUGUAACUACUCUUAGGUAAUUACACACUGUUUGGGUCAACCAGGAAUAUAUGGUUGGUCCACUUCCAGUGUGGACCUUCUUGUUCCUUCUCUCCACUCCUCAUACUUUCAUUCCUUACUCUCUCUUUACCUUUCAACUUUUCUCUCCCUCUUCCAUAUCAAAUAUUUUCCUUUUGUUGUUUUGCUUACAUAAAAUACUGUAAUUUGAUUCUUACUUAAGAGCCUAAUAAAUCCCGUUAUCUUGCCGUGUAUGAAUACUGUACUUGUCUAUUUGUUUGGGUACUGAGUUUCAUUUGCAUAAUUGUUUUCUUUAUAUUUGGUCUUAUAAGAAGUUCAGUUUAGUUAUUUUUAUUUUAUUUUACUUUUAUUUGUAAUAAAUUUUUAACACUUGCCCAUCCUA
rnacentral:misc_RNA from 1 species